CAGUGGGUGAAAGGCCCACCCGGCUAGAUGCUCCGGCUGGAAGCAACGGAGAAGGCAUGGAGGUAACGAAAUGACUUGAGCCUUCGGAUACCGCUUCUACGCCCUAUACGACACGAUUCACCGCGA
rfam:Betaproteobacteria bacterium RIFCSPLOWO2_12_FTLL_62_13b rifcsplowo2_12_scaffold_48798, whole genome shotgun sequence.